rnacentral:rRNA from 1 species
GACGAACGCUGGCGGCGUGCUUAACACAUGCAAGUCGAACGGAAAGGCCCUGCUUUUGUGGGGUGCUCGAGUGGCGAACGGGUGAGUAACACGUGAGUAACCUGCCCUUGACUUUGGGAUAACUUCAGGAAACUGGGGCUAAUACCGGAUAGGAGCUCCUGCUGCAUGGUGGGGGUUGGAAAGUUUCGGCGGUUGGGGAUGGACUCGCGGCUUAUCAGCUUGUUGGUGGGGUAGUGGCUUACCAAGGCUUUGACGGGUAGCCGGCCUGAGAGGGUGACCGGCCACAUUGGGACUGAGAUACGGCCCAGACGCCUACGGGAGGCAGCAGUGGGGAAUAUUGCACAAUGGGCGGAAGCCGGAUGCAGCAACGCCGCGUGCGGGAUGACGGCCUUCGGGUUGUAAACCGCUUUCGCCUGUGACGAAGCGUGAGUGACGGUAAUGGGGAAAGAAGCACCGGCGAACUACGU